rnacentral:rRNA from 1 species
UACGGAGGGUGCGAACGUUAAUCGGAAUCACUGGGCGUAAAGCGCGCGUAGGCGGUCUGUUAAGUGGGAUGUGAAAUCCCCGGGCUUAACCUGGGAAUUGCAUUUCAAACUGGCCGACUAGAGUACGGUAGAGGGAGGUAGAAUUUCCUGUGUAGCGGUGAAAUGCGUAGAUAUAGGAAGGAAUACCAGUGGCGAAGGCGGCCACCUGGCUGCCAACUGACGCUGAGGCACGAGAGCGUGGGGAGCGAACCGG